AAAGUGUCUCUAUGGAAAUGCUGUGCCUGACUCCUCUGAUGACGCUGGUGAUCAAUGGAUCAAUCAGCUGAUCGCUCCAUUGAUCAGGAAUGUGUCAGUGCUCGUUAACGAGUCUUUGAUGCCGUUUGAUGGAAAACUUUUCUUCCCGAAUGUUUUAUAAGAUCCCCAAAAUUUACUACAAUGUUUUUGUACGGCGGUUCGAUGCCUUCGUGUCACUGUGGAUCACGUUUGGUGGAGGAACCAGACUGAGCGUUGGAAGUGAUGUCCGGCCCACCCUGACGGUGCUGCCCCCCUCCAGGGAGGAGCUGCAGCAGGGGACGGCCACGCUGGUGUGCCUGGCCGACAAGGGCUUCCCCUCCGACUGGAGUCUGGCCUGGAAGGUGGACGGCAGCAGCAGCAGCUGGGAGGAGAGCAGGAGCCCCGGGGUGCUGGGGGGGGGCGCCCUCUACAGCUGGAGCAGCACCCUGAGGCUCCCUGCAGACCAGUGGGCCAAGGUGGGCUCCGUGACCUGUGAGGCCACCCAGGGCUCCCAGACUGCGCUCUCAGAGACGCUGAGGAGAGACCAGUGUUCCCAGUGAGCUGAGCCACUGGGGCUCUGAUACUGGUUCACUCUCAUACUGGUUCAGUCUGCCUGUAAAUCUACAUUUUCUGUUCAUUUCUUUUUUUAAUCACUGUUUAAGUUCCUGUUUCAUUCAAUAAGUUCUUUUAUUUUUUCAACACAAUAAAUAACAUUUCAUCAAAUUCAUUGUCAUCAGUAUGUUAUUGUAAAGUAGACGGAUGUUUCUCUUUCUCUAGUUCCAAUAAAUGCAGAAAAAGUUCUCAACUCA